GCCUUUAAAAACUGAACCAGAAAUUUGGCCCCCAUGUUCUCUGUUUUCCCUUGGCUCAACCACCAAGAGUUCUCACGGACAUCACACGUAUCUUUUAACAGAAUCUGAGAUAGUAGUUGCCAAUAUAGGCUAGAUUUGCCUCCAAGUAUUGGGACUUCUUUUGGAGUGAUAAGGAGGGGCCAACCCAACACUUUGGCCUUCUCAACCUCCGCAGAUGCUGCUCAGUGUCUCUUCCUCCCCAGUUUUGGCUCGGCAUGGUGUCUCCCAGGCCCACUGACUGUCGGUUGCCAUAACAACUUAUGGCAAAAGAGGGAAGCCUGGCGAAGCAGUGGUUGGGCCAGGUGGAGAGGAGGAGGUAGAACAGAUAGCUGAGACACACAGAGUCCCUGGAAAGUUGGUGUGGAGGCAGGUGACUGCAAGAAAGGUGGAGGAAGCUUGAGUCUGUGAUGAAGAUGAAGUUAAAGAUGAAGGAAGAAGAAGAAAAUAAGGAAGGAUGCAAAUUCAUGUUCUGACAGCUCAUUCAAUGAAUCUGCAGGCAAUGAGACAUUCUGGUGUGGUUUACUAUUCAAUACAAGGAAUUCUGUUAUUUUCUAGAGUUUCAUCAACACAAGUGUUACAAGCAUACUGUUGUUUUCAUUCUACUGUUGAUUUUAGAUUUCUACAUUUCAGAUUGACUUCAAGGCUCUUGGAAGAUUGGAAAAGGACAAAAAGACCCAGUAACAUGUUUGGACUUGAAAAUCAGAACAAGCAGGCAAUCUGUAGAGCUAUCUUGGAAAUAAGCUAUGAAAAGAUAACAUCCCCACCUUGUGAUCUUGGCAGAACCCUUCCUACACUGUACAGAGAUACACAUAAUUCCACCUGAACUUCUGAGAAGUAGAAAG
rnacentral:lncRNA from 1 species